rnacentral:rRNA from 1 species
AACGAACGCUGGCGGCAUGCCUAACACAUGCAAGUCGAACGAGACCUCAGGGUCUAGUGGCGCACGGGUGCGUCAAGCGUGGGACCCUGCCCUUAGACUCGGAAUACCACCCCGAAAGGGGUGCUAAUACCGGAUAAUGUAUUCGAAUACCAUAUUCAACGUCUUUGGAGGAGCGCGCGUUGGACUAGCUAGUUGCUAGGGGAAAAGCCUACCAAGGCGACGAUACAUAGCUGGUCUGAGAGGAUGAGCAGCCACACUGGGACUGUGACACGGCGCAGACUACUACAGGAUGCAGCAGAGGGUAAUAUAGGACAAUCGGCGAAAUGCUGAACCAGCAAGGCCGCUAGAGUGAUGAAGGCCUGAGAGUUGUAAAGCUCUUUUACCCGGGAUGAUAAUGACAGUACCGGGAGAAUAAGCACCGGCUAACUCCGUG